rnacentral:rRNA from 1 species
UCGAGCGAACGGACGAGAAGCUUGCUUCUCUGAUGUUAGCGGCGGACGGGUGAGUAACACGUGGAUAACCUACCUAUAAGACUGGGAUAACUUCGGGAAACCGGAGCUAAUACCGGAUAAUAUUUUGAACCGCAUGGUUCAAAAGUGAAAGACGGUCUUGCUGUCACUUAUAGAUGGAUCCGCGCUGCAUUAGCUAGUUGGUAAGGUAACGGCUUACCAAGGCAACGAUGCGUAGCCGACCUGAGAGGGUGAUCGGCCACACUGGAACUGAGACACGGUCCAGACUCCUACGGGAGGCAGCAGUAGGGAAUCUUCCGCAAUGGGCGAAAGCCUGACGGAGCAACGCCGCGUGAGUGAUGAAGGUCUUCGGAUCGUAAAACUCUGUUAUUAGGGAAGAACAUAUGUGUAAGUAACUGUGCACAUCUUGACGGUACCUAAUCAGAAAGCCACGGCUAACUACGUGCCAGCAGCCGCGGUAAUACGUAGGUGGCAAGCGUUAUCCGGAAUUAUUGGGCGUAAAGCGCGCGUAGGCGGUUUUUUAAGUCUGAUGUGAAAGCCCACGGCUCAACCGUGGAGGGUCAUUGGAAACUGGAAAACUUGAGUGCAGAAGAGGAAAGUGGAAUUCCAUGUGUAGCGGUGAAAUGCGCAGAGAUAUGGAGGAACACCAGUGGCGAAGGCGACUUUCUGGUCUGUAACUGACGCUGAUGUGCGAAAGCGUGGGGAUCAAACAGGAUUAG